rnacentral:lncRNA from 1 species
GUUGAUCAUCGAAGCCUGGGCAAUAACGAUUAAGGAAUUUGAGCGCUGAUGUAGCUAAGACCUACCUUCAUAGUCAAUUCAUUAGGGUUGUCACCUUCUAAUAGAGGUUGAUCAUCGAAGCCUGGGCAAUAACGAUUAAGGAAUUUGAGCGCUGAUGUAGCUAAGACCUACUUCAUAGUCAAUUCAUUAGGGUUGUCACCUUCUAACAGGUCCCAUUUCUACAGCUUAUAGAAAGAAGUUCCCUAUCUUUCCGAGUUCAACUUCGCAAAGGAAGAGGGCGCACUAGUUCUUGUUUACUAUGGAUAGG